CCUACGGGUGGCAGCAGUGGGGAAUAUUGCGCAAUGGGCGAAAGCCUGACGCAGCGACGCCGCGUGAGGGAUGAAGGUCUUCGGAUCAUAAACCUCUGUCAGCAGGGAAGAACGGUCACUGUGCUAAUCAGCAGUGAAUUGACGGUACCUGCAAAGGAAGCACCGGCUAACUCCGUGCCAGCAGCCGCGGUAAUACGGAGGGUGCGAGCGUUAAUCGGAAUUACUGGGCGUAAAGCGCUCGUAGGCGGUAUGUCAAGUCAAGGGUGAAAUCCCCGGGCUCAACGGGGGAACUGCCUUUGAAACUGGCAGACUGGAGUGGGUGAGAGGAUAGUGGAAUUCCAGGUGUAGGAGUGAAAUCCGUAGAUAUCUGGAGGAACAUCAGUGGCGAAGGCGACUAUCUGGCACAUAACUGACGCUGAGGAGCGAAAGCGUGGGUAGCAAACAGGAUUAGAUACCCCUGUAGUC
rnacentral:rRNA from 1 species